UUUGGGUGGCAGCUGUUUUGCUUUGGGAGGUAUUAGCCUGUUUUUUUUUUUUUUUUUAGGUUUUCUGGGUGCAGACUGAAAGAAAAACUCACAGACACUUACAGUUGUUUGGAGGACCUUAAAACAAUAUUCUGACGUCAUGUCAUCCAAUGCGACCCUGGAGUUGGUGUAGCACAGAAGAUGUGAACAGUGAACGGCCAUUCCUGCAGUGGACAAGGGUUCAAUUCCCUGACUGGACAGACAAGCACACCCCUUUAUACAAGUCCUACCUGGCUCCGGUGUGUGUGAGUGUCCCGCGCGCAGUAAUCCUGCCACAGCGAGCAGCGCGAGAGCCAACCCGGACAGCAGCAUGCCGGAGUGAGUGUGUGGAGCCUCGUGCCCCACUGCUCGCUCUAAUCCUCCACCUCGCUGCAGUGCUGCCAGAUUUGGACCCUUAAACAGAACUUUUUGGCCCAGGAGCUUCACUAGCGCUAAAGAAGCACCUAAACAGACGCGCUCCAGCUUUCCCUCCUCAAACACGCAUAUAAAACAGAUGCACACACACUGCUGAUGUACCACGAUCCUCAUUGAGCUGACGACAGGCCUUUUCACCAGCUCACUGUAGUACAAACCCAUCCCCCCUCUCCCCCACACCACCGAACUGAUGGAGAGCAGGAGAGAGAGCAUGCAGACAAAGAGGCUCAGCCACAGUGAAGCCAGGGAUGCUGUGAAUAGCUUUUAGUACAUGAGAGAGAGAGAGAGAGAGAGAGAGAGAGAGAGAGAGAGAGAGAGAAAUGAGAGAGAGAGAGAGAGAGAGAGAGAGAGAGAGAGAGAGAGAGAGAGAAAUAAGAGAGAAGGAUGUCUGUGUAGUGGCUCUCGACUGCCAUCUUCAGAUCAGCAGCUACAGUUCUGCACUAUAAUUAUACUAUACUAUAAUAACACUAUAAUAACUGACAUAGUAUUGACCUGCUUCUGUCAAAUAAGCAAACAUGUAUUGAAGGAACAAUAUGUAUUAGAUUUUCUGUAACUAACUAAUAAUUAAACGAU